UGGGGAAUUUUGGACAAUGGGGGCAACCCUGAUCCAGCCAUGCCGCGUGAGUGAAGAAGGCCUUCGGGUUGUAAAGCUCUUUCGGCCGGGAAGAAAUCGCUCAAGCUAAUACCUUGGGUGGAUGACGGUACCGGAAGAAGAAGCACCGGCUAACUACGUGCCAGCAGCCGCGGUAAUACGUAGGGUGCGAGCGUUAAUCGGAAUUACUGGGCGUAAAGCGUGCGCAGGCGGUUCGGUAAGUUGGGCGUGAAAUCUCCCGGCUCAACUGGGAGAGGUCGUUCAAUACUACCGGACUUGAGAGCGAUAGAGGAAAAUGGAAUUCCCGGUGUAGUGGUGAAAUGCGUAGAUAUCGGGAGGAACACCAGUGGCGAAAGCGAUUUUCUGAUCGUUUCUGACGCUCAGACGCGAAAGCUAGGGUAGCAAACGGGAUUAGAAACCCCUGUAG
rnacentral:rRNA from 1 species